rnacentral:rRNA from 1 species
UGCAAUCUGCCUUCCACAGAGGGAUAGCCCAGAGAAAUUUGGAUUAAUACCUCAUAGCAUCAUGACCCGGCAUCGGGAUAUGAUUAAAGUCACAACGGUGGAAGAUGAGCAUGCGUCCCAUUAGCUAGUUGGUAAGGUAACGGCUUACCAAGGCUACGAUGGGUAGGGGUCCUGAGAGGGAGAUCCCCCACACUGGUACUGAGACACGGACCAGACUCCUACGGGAGGCAGCAGUGAGGAAUAUUGGUCAAUGGGCGCAAGCCUGAACCAGCCAUGCCGCGUGCAGGAUGACGGUCCUAUGGAUUGUAAACUGCUUUUGUACGGGAAGAAACCCUCCUACGUGUAGGAGCUUGACGGUACCGUAAGAAUAAGGAUCGGCUAACUCCGUGCCAGCAGCCGCGGUAAUACGGAGGAUCCAAGCGUUAUCCGGAAUCAUUGGGUUUAAAGGGUCUGUAGGCGGUCUUGUAAGUCAGUGGUGAAAGCCCAUCGCUCAACGGUGGAACGGCCAUUGAUACUGCUGGACUUGAAUUAUUGGGAAGCAACUAGAAUAUGUAGUGUAGCGGUGAAAUGCUUAGAGAUUACAUGGAAUACCAAUUGCGAAGGCAGGUUGCUACCAAUGGAUUGACGCUGAUGGACGAAAGCGUGGGUAGCGAACAGGAUUAGAUACCCUGGUAGUCCACGCCGUAAACGAUGGAUACUAGCUGUUGGGCGCAAGUUCAGUGGCUAAGCGAAAGUGAUAAGUAUCCCACCUGGGGAGUACGAACGCAAGUUUGAAACUCAAAGGAAUUGACGGGGGCCCGCACAAGCGGUGGAGCAUGUGGUUUAAUUCGAUGAUACGCGAGGAACCUUACCAAGGCUUAAAUGCAGACUGACCGGUUUGGAAACAGACCUUUCGCAAGACGGUCUACAAGGUGCUGCAUGGUUGUCGUCAGCUCGUGCCGUGAGGUGUCAGGUUAAGUCCUAUAACGAGCGCAACCCCUGUUGUUAGUUGCCAGCGAGUCAUGUCGGGAACUCUAGCAAGACUGCCAGUGCAAACUGUGAGGAAGGUGGGGAUGACGUCAAAUCAUCACGGCCCUUACGCCUUGGGCUACACACGUGCUACAAUGGCCGGUACAGAGAGCAGCCACCCCGCGAGGGGGAGCGAAUCUAUAAAGCCGGUCACAGUUCGGAUCGGAGUCUGCAACUCGACUCCGUGAAGCUGGAAUCGCUAGUAA